UACGGGAGGCAGCAGUGGGGAAUUUUGGACAAUGGGGGCAACCCUGAUCCAGCCAUGCCGCGUGAGUGAAGAAGGCCUUCGGGUUGUAAAGCUCUUUCGCGAGGGAAGAAAUUGCACCGGAUAAUACCUGGUGUAGAUGACGGUACCUUGAUAAGAAGCACCGGCUAACUACGUGCCAGCAGCCGCGGUAAUACGUAGGGUGCGAGCGUUAAUCGGAAUUACUGGGCGUAAAGCGUGCGCAGGCGGUUUCGUAAGACAGGCGUGAAAUCCCCGGGCUUAACCUGGGAACUGCGCUUGUGACUGCGAGGCUAGAGUACGGCAGAGGGAGGUAGAAUUCCACGUGUAGCAGUGAAAUGCGUAGAGAUGUGGAGGAAUACCGAUGGCGAAGGCAGCCUCCUGGGCCAGUACUGACGCUCAUGCACGAAAGCGUGGGGAGCAAACAGGAUUAGAUACCCUGGUAGUCCACGCCCUAAACGAUGUCAACUAGGUGUUGGUGGGGUUAAACCCAUUAGUACCGCAGCUAACGCGUGAA
rnacentral:rRNA from 1 species